AGUUGUUCUGUUCGUUACAGACUUCCUUGUCACGAAAACGACUUAAAAUAUGAACAUUUCGCUGAGCAUGCUUUGUUUGUACGCGUUCUUCUUUACCCAAGUAAUAACAGUUACAGCACAGUCCACAUACACAAGGAAGGCCUUGACUGGAAGUGACGUCAUACUUCCUUGUGACUAUGAUCAGACUGCUGAUGGGGACUGGAUUAUUGUCACCUGGACUAUGCGUAUCGGUGGAACUUUUCAAAACCUGUAUGUGAGGACAACAGGCAGCACAACCAAUGCUGUAGCUUCACCACCACCUCAGUUUGCUGGACGAAUGGCAAUAGAUGGAAUCUCAAACCUGAGACUGACAGGUGUCACCAUUGGGGAUGAAGAUGAGUACAGAUGUAUUGUCACAGCCCAAACCCUGAGUCCGGUAACAUUUGUUAAUCUCCAGGUUUUCCGUGAGUAGUACUAUUGGAUGACUUAAACAAUUUUCAUGACAAUUUCUUGUGUCCGUUUAGCAGCGAAAAAGCGAUCCACGAUAUAUUCCUACGGGUAAAUGAUACAUAUGAACACAGCAUUCAGCUCGAGACAGGAGGCUGGUGUAGAUUAGCCAAACCAAAAACUGCUAUGACGAAAACCUUUCUGUUCAGACGUAUUAAGUCACACAUUGCAAUACUACAUUAUAUCAUCAUCCACACCACAAAUGUUCCAGAAAACAUAUUGACCUUGACCUCCCCUCAGCGUAUAUGCCUCAUCUUGACGUAUAUCUUUACAUUUCAUUUACAGACAGUAGUAGUAUUUUCCUUUUGGAGUUGUAGCAGAAUUGAAAAAAGACAUUGAUAUUUAGAUGGUCUGUUGACUCUUUUCCCACCACAGAACAACCAACAGGUCCUAUUGUUCAAGUCCAGUUUGACCCCGUCACCUUCACCUGUACCAGUACAGGGGGACGGCCACCUGCCAGUCUUGGAUGGUCUGUCACAGAAAAUGGCACACCGGUGUCUGUAAAUCCCACAUACACAUCCUCUAAUAACUCCCAGGGAGUUGGAGACGCCACAUCAACAUUCAACUUUACUACAACAAAGUACGGAGUGACGUACAGGGUACAGUGUACAGCUUCAGGACCAGAUCCUAUCCAAUCCAGGACAUCAGCUGUAGUGAGCGUCACUACAGAGAAAGAUCCAAGUGCCAUUCCUACUACACCAAAGGGACAGACAGGUA